GGGGCCGUGGUGAAGCGGGAUCACACCACAAUGGCAUUGUGGUAUCACGGGUUCAAUUCCCGUCGGCUCCA
rnacentral:tRNA from 1 species